UACCUCAUCUUCUGUACAUAGUUCUACUGUCUUCAAGUUAUGUCCUAGAAUUUGUAUUGAUAAAGCCACUGGAUGGCGAAAUGUCUACAAUAAAGAUACCCAGAUGUUGCACAUGUGUCUUACUCUCAACUUUACUUUUCUUUCUGUAUUCACUUUCAGCUUCAUUUAUACAUCCUCCUUGACUUCUCCAAUUUAAUCUACUCUUCUCAACUUUUUUUCUGAAUCUUCUAAAGUUCUCUCAUCAGUAAAGAACAAGUAGUAGCUCCCACGUCAUAUCUUUGAGGCCAGCACCUCUUUUGUCUAAAUUUAAGGCUUGCUCCUACUCCCCUCAUCUUUUACAUCAUCCCCCUAACCUGACCCUCACUCUCCUUGAACUGUCAACCCAUUUCCUAUUAUGGAUAUUUGCAGCACCUUCCAAAUCACUAGUCAUUUUUUUUUCCAGUUUAAUAGUGCAACAAACAGCUGCUUACCUUUACCUAAAUAUUGCACACUUAUAUGCCUUAAUGCAAACACUUAAUAUUCAUCUUCACAUCCUCUUCUGUUCCUAAACUCUUGUUCUUUUGCAUUUCUCCUGUUUCCUAUGUCUUUUAAUUAUAAUUCUGUCAUACAGUAUGAACUCUAGUCAACAUACAUUAUUUCCCUAUAAUUCUGGCACUUCCUCUUUUUUCUUUAUACACAAGAAUUAAGUUCUCUGCCAAUCAUUAGCUGCCUUCCAUUCUUAUGAAUAAUCAACAAAUAACUCGUCAUUCUAAAACUUUAUAGGCGUCUGCUUUAGUGCCCCCCCCAUUAUCUACGCUUCUUACUGCCUCAUCCGCUUCCUCUGUACUCAAGUGGUGAACGAACUGUUGAAUACCAAUAUUUCACAUUCAUCAGAUUGAGUAUUUAUGUUGUGAACUUCAUGACUAGUUCAUAAAUAGUCUUAUAAACCAUCCCUGAUGCUUCUGAGAUUUUUAAAGCUUUUUGUUUUAACUCUAGAAUGAUUAAUAAAAACACAUUGUUUUGAAAGAUUUCAGGGCAUCUCAACCUUUACACUGUCAAAGACCUUGAUGUUAUUUAUUUUAUUAUAUUAUCACACUGGCCGAUUCCCACCAAGGCAGGGUGGCCCGAAAAAGAAAAACUUUCACCAUCAUUCACUCCAUCACUGUCUUGCCAGAAGGGUGCUUUAUGUCCCUUUUAUUUCAGUCUUUAAAAGAAUUUAUAUUUUAAGAUAAGAGAAUCAUUUUCUAAAGGUAAUUAGACCAAAAAUAAUGAGGUUUGUUCAAAAUUCACAGAAUUAUGAAAGUGCAUUGCUGAAAAUCGUGGAUUGCUUGACAGCAACAGCAGGUCUUGCUACAUUUCCUCUUUUUUUAUUAUUAUUAUUAUUAUUAUUAUUAUUAUUUCUUUCAACACACCGGCCGUAUCCCACCAAGGCAGGGUGGCCCAAAAAGAAAAACGAAAGUUUCUCUUUUAAAUUUAGUAAUUUAUACGGGAGAAGGGGUUACUAGCCCCUUGCUCCCGGCAUUUUAGUUGCCUCUUACAACACACAUGACUUACGGAGGAAGAAUUCUGUUCCACUUCCCCAUGGAGUAUUAUUAUUAUUAUUAUUAUUAUUAUUAUAAAUGCAAACAUGGUUUCCUGUGGACUCUGGUGUGUAUCAAGAAUUUCAGUACCCAAAUUUUGUGGCACACAAUUCCACAAAAUAUAUACACUCGCUGAACCUUGGAACGUUUUUAUCUUAUUUAUUUUUUUUUACUGUUUCUUACAUAUGUACACUAUGUACAAACAUUGUAUAUGAUAUGAGAAUUGUUGCUGUGUGUGUGGAAUGCCUCAGAACAAGUUAUGAGGUACAGUAGUGUCUCGCAGGACUUAGAUACAUGUAUAUAUCAUGUAUCUUUGCAUUGUUUGAGGUUUAUCUUGCAUUGUUUGAGGUUUUCUCAUGGAGCGAGAGCACACAUCUCUUUUGAGCCUUUAUUUUUAGUACAAUGAAUUAGUGCUAAGUAAUGAUUGCAAUUACCAGGCUUCAGAUUGUAAGGAAUUAGUUGGGCUGGAGUUAUAACCUAUGGACUGGCUGGGUUGAAAGCAAUCUUAUGGGCAUUUCCAGUGUCACUUUCACUCGCUUUCUCACUUAUAGAACUCCACAUCAGAAUCCUAGCUGUUAGAAUCCUUAAGUAUUAACAGUUAAGUGGUUAAUUGUGGUGGGAGUGAGUUUACAUAUGUAAGCAUGGUUAACAAAGGUUAAGAGGUGGCUGUUCCCAUUAUGCUUUUUAUGGGGCAGUAUAUAUUGUAUACUACUCACACCCAUGUGUGCAGAUCCAUUUGCUCAUUUAUUUGCUUAAAUUACUGCUCAUAGCAAACAUGAAGGCUUUAUGAAUUUUUUUUUCCUCCCAACACUGGUCAUCUUCCAUCGAAGUACAUACUGCACCUCCAGCUAACCACUAAAAUAUACGAGUCAAUGCUGUAGGUUCAAACCAACGAACUCUGACAAGAGAGGCAAAGUCACAUGUAUCUGCCCAUAUGCCAGGCUUAUUUUUAGUAAUUUAUACAGAAGGGGUUACUAGCCCAUUGCUCCUGGCAUUUUAGUCAACUUUUACAACAUGCAUGACUUGCGGAGGAAAGAUUUUUGUUCCACCGCCCCAUUUUUUUUUUUAGGAAAUUGAUCCCCAGACCACAGUGAUCAGAGGAAUAACACUCACCACUGAGCUAUGGAUGUUGGUAUACAUUAUGAAUUACGCAUACUAUUGUGUCAUUGAUAUGCACCACACGGCCAUACUGGUACAUCACCAGCAGCUUAAUAAUUAAGAAAUCUCGUCUGCAAAUUGUAAGGGCUUUUCUAAAUACGGUAGAAAAACUUAAGUAAUGCAAUCAUAGCUCAUGCUUUCAAUGUUAUGUUAUUUAAAUUUGGUUUUUACGUUUCAAAUAGAAGCAUGCCCAUUUCCAUUGAGGCAUGUAGAAGCAGAAUUCUUUUCCGUUGGUGGCACGCAUUUCUGUUAAGUGCAGUGGCUGGCAGGUAUAUAUCAAUGCUCAAUUUUUCCUUUUUAUCACUCCCAUCUCAUUUCUUGAUAUUUUUCAUGGUAUCCAAACAAAGUGCAGGCAGUGCUUGUGAAACAAGGAAGAAAAUUAACCAUGACAUUAGCCCAAUUUUGAUAAAAUUUGAGGUAAUUGAGAUGUUGAAGGGUGGUUUGUGCGUCAUGAGGGCGGCACAAGCGUUUGAAGUUAGAGAAUCAAUGAUUCAUUCAAUUAGAGACAGUGACAUGAAGGUAAAGGCUUAUGGUAUGAGUAAGCCUCAAUGUGACAGUGAAAAGAAUGAAGAAUAGGCUAUUACAGCUAAACAAAAAGUUUACUCAAUGUGUGGAUUGCAAAGCAAACAAAGGUAUUCCAUUUAGCCUUAUUAAUAAGAAAAACUUUUUUAUUCUUUUCUUUUUUAAUACUUUGGCCAUUUCCCACUGAGGCAGGAUGACCCAAAAAAGAAACACACUCGCCAUCUUUCAUACUGUGAAACUGUGUGAGAAAAGAGGACAUCACUAAUACAAGUGUACUUUUAUUACUGGAUGGUUUAACCAGUUUAGAAUGUCCACUGAGCUACAUAAAAAACGGCAGGGUAAAACUAACCAGCGGCAUAUGACAGAAUACCUGAGCACUCCACUACAGCAAUCAACUGAUAUACUUGUCGCAUCAGCAUCCCAAGAUCCCCAUCCUUCAACAUCACAACAACCCCAACCUAUCGACUCAUUCCACCACAUUAAACAUCAGCAACUUGACUUGAAGAUUUUAAGACUUGACAGAUUCAACAAAAGUAAAGUACAGUACUCUACACCUGAGUGCUUGUUGCAUGGCGGAAGAUUUUAUAGGUGCAUAUUAGGAAUGAUCACAUCAGAAUAUGCUGUAGUGUCAGUUGUCUUGAAGUCGUAUUUAUUUUUACUUUAGUUGCUGAUCCAUUUGUGUUCUUGCAACCCACAUGUGCCCAGCAGAAUGUUGAUACAGUAAUAUAAGUUUUGUGACUGAAAAUUGUUUACCUAAUGUUGCAAAAAAGCCUUAUGAAUUACAAAAAGCUGAAAGUAGUGUGUGUGAGUCUUUCAGUAUACUGUGAGCUAAGUAACACUGCAGAGAUUUGAAGAGCUUGUUUUGUAUUAAAUAACUAAUCACAUCAUGCUUAGUGUAAUAGACAUAGUCAUCUUAUUGCAUCAUACUAACAGUUAGAAUGGUAGUUAACUGAUAUGUGACAGUUUGUUCAUGAAUGUGAUUUUUUGCUGAACAUGUGUAUAAGGAAUAUGUACCACUAAUAUUGAAUGGAAAAAGUUUAAAAAUUUUGUAUAUCAUUUUUGUUUUUGUUAUGUCUGGCAGAGAAAGAUAAUAUAAAUUCUUGUAAUUGUACUCUAUUACUGUAGUUCAAACCACUGGCAUUCUGCAAGCAUCUGUAUUAAAGCUGAGCAAUUAAGAAUUAUGAGAAUGAACACAACAAAUAGUUGCCAAAUACUGAAAAAAAACAGAGGAUGGUCAGUACUGUAUCCAGGCAGUUCUUAGGUUUUGAUGCUCAUGCUUCAGUGGUUAAAAUAUCACAAGGUUAGUUUUUGGUAUUGAAUAUCUAUUAAAAAUAUUGAUAACAUUUAUUGACCUUUUGCUUUUAAGAAUCACUUUUUUUUUUUUUUUUUUUUUUUUUGUCCAAAUGCCAUUUGUAAAUUGUGUUUUGAGAUACAGUAGUAGUGUUCAUUCAUAUUGUAUAUGAUUGAGAUAAUGGUAAAUGUGUUUUACAGUUAUGAUAAGGUAUUGCUCGAAGAAAUUCAUAUACAGUUUAAAUUAUAUGUAUAGAGAAUAAGAGGAGAGUUAAUCUCAAAAUGCAAAAUAAUCUGGGCAUAUACAGAGGAACUAAAGAGCCACGACACUUCACAAAAUCUUUUUUCAGAUGUAAAUAUGAUGCACUAGUUCAGGUGUGUCAGUCUCAAGUUAAAGAAGCUGAUCCGAAAGCCAAAACUUCCCACCUUACUCAAGUUCAAAAAGUGAUAACAAAUAGGUUGUGUGUGUGCCAUCAUCCCUACAGAUUUGUAGAGGAUUAAAUUUGUAGAGGUCAUGCAAAACUAGAAACUGAAUAAUAAAAAUCAAGUUACAUAUUUUUUUUCAGAUCUGGGUUUGUUUAUGCUUCAGAGAUCACCUCUCCAAUAUAUCAAUAAUUGGGUUAAUAGUGACAUUCAUAAGAAAUAAUUGCAAGAAUGAGAGAGAGAUAUGGGAGUGGGAAGGUCAUUGAGCCAAAAGAAAUGGUGGAUAAUUGAAUCUGUUUGUGGGCUGCCCUUCAGUAAAGCAGUUAAAUAAUCAAAAUCUGUGAAUCUGUAGGGAUGCUUAUGCAUGUGCACACUCUUUGGUGGCUGGCUGAUAGGAAAAAAAAAGACAUAAUCAUAUACAAGGUUGUAAAAGACACAAUAGUAGUAGAACAGUAGGUUGCUAUAUAGGAGUAGAUACUGUAGUUGGUAUGAAUAGAAAUUGCAAUGAAGUUUAUAGUAAAGCAUUGGAAUGUAAGAUUGUGCACAUAGCUCUCCUGUAGCUGCAAAUAGGUCUAUAUCUAAUCCGAGGAGGACUAGUCAGACAGGCGGCAACUGUACUUCAACCCCUUAAAGUGCAAGGUUUUGAAACUGGGAAGGAGAAAUUAGAUGCAGAAUACAAAAUUGUGAGGGAUGUAAACUACAAAUUUGACAAGAAAAAGGCUCUAGGGAUAAGCAGAAUCUGAAACACAUCAUCAGUGAUGAACAUUAGCUGAAUAACUGCAGAAUGUCCAGAAACUUGCUAUAAAACAACAGUAGUUCCCAAGGUAAGAAGAAUGAACUGUGAAAAAACUUAAGGAACUUGACCUUAAAAAUUAGGAAUAUGGAAGAACCAGGGGGAAUGGGAAGACAUGACAUACAGAACACUCAGAUGAUUUCAUAAUGCAGAAAGAGCAAUGGGUAUAUUUUCAAAAUGUGCAAAUAAUUUAGAGAGAUCACCCCUCCAACAAUGUCCCUUGAUGCCAUUGAGAAGCUCAUUAUGUAAGGAAUUUGUUUGCCCAUCCCCUCCCUUUCCUUGGUUUGAAUCUGAUUACCUCCCAUUCCCACAGAUGGUGACCCCAAUGGGUUUAGUGCUUCUCCCAUGAAUGUAAUAAUAAUAGUGAUAUCAGGCAGUAAUUUAAAUGUGGUUAGGAAGCUGAACAAUUUUAAGGAGGAAAUGGUGGAAGCAGAUAGGGCCAAUAGCACCAAAAAUUUGCUGUCACCAAUUGGAAAUAGUUGGGGUCUGGGCCAGAAGUAGAGAGGUCAUUAAUCAUAAAUUUGCAAGUGCACUCACUAUUAUAUCAUUCACAUUUGUGAUAUUGCUAUACAGUACUGUAUAUAAUACAUGCAUGUACACAUACAUUAAUGUGGAUUAAAAAUACCUUCAGCAAAUAUAUAUUAGACAUGACUAUCUGCUUGAGUGUUUUAGAGGAGGAAGUGUAAAAAUUUUGCAGUCAUACUGUGUAUUUAUUCUUGUAAAUUGUGUAUUGCCAAGCUGUAAUGCUGUGUUACAGGGCUGACUCAAGUAUUCACAUAAAUACGUAUAUAUAUAUAUAUUUUUUAAGUUGGUUAUUUUUUUGUUAAAGCAUUUAUUUCCAUGUUUCACGAUGAGAUGUUGGAGAUUUUGAGAGUUUAAAAACAGCUCAUUGGUGUACCACCUGCCUUGGUCUAUUGGCAUAUCUUUCAUGAGCACUCCUUGAUAAUGAAGUAGCCAUCAAAUACACUCUUCUCUGAUACACGUGAUUUGCUCGAUAAUUCAAAAAGAAGCAUAUUUUGACCAUAUUCACUGACUUUUUAAAGUGUUACUGAAAUCCAUAAUAUUUGUCCAAGGUUGCCAGAUUGAAAUGUAAUGCAUAUCUAGUUAGCAGUGUUUUUGCUGUAUUAAUGCUUUGUAGUGUAUAAAUCAUUAGUUUUCAUCAAGCAUUUUAAAGCUAAACACAAAAAAGCUUGUAUAUUGUGAAAAUGUUUUUGUGAGAUAAAUGAUAUCAAGGAGUGUUGUACUAUUAGUCCACUUCCUUGACUCUUCUAGAGCUAAAUACUUAAGGAAGCUCCUUAAAUCAGAUACGCAGCUUCUAAGCAAUGCGAUGCAUUGCAACCAUUUAAUUUUAAAUUUCUUACAUUAUGUACAUAAAUUUUAAUAAGCAAAA